rnacentral:rRNA from 1 species
GACGAACGCUGGCGGCGUGGAUUAGGCAUGCAAGUCGAACGGUAUCAUCCUUUCGGGGGUGAGAGAGUGGCGAACUGGUGAGUAACACGUAGGUUAUCUACCCUCAAGACGGGGACAACCCAGGGAAACUUGGGCUAAUACCGGAUGUGAGCAACUUUUAGUUGUUUGAAAGGUGGCGUAAGCUGUCGCUUGGGGAUGAGCCUGCGUCUUAUUAGUUAGUUGGUGAGGUAACGGCUCACCUAGGCAAUGAUAGGUAGGCGGCCUUAACGGGUGGUCGCCCACACUGGGAUUGAGAUACGGCCCAGACUCCUACGGGAGGCAGCAGUCGAGAAUAGUCUACAAUGGUCGGAAGACUGAUAGUGCGACGCCGCGUGAACGAUGAAUCCCUUCGGGGUGUAAAGUUCUUUUAUAUGUGAGCAGUGCUUCUUAUAUUAACAGUAUGGGGAAGAGAUAUUAGCAUAUGAAUAAGCAACGGCUAACUCCGUGCCCAGCAGCCGCGGUAAUCAA